CGCGUAGGCGGUCGGGUAAGUCGAGUGUGAAAUUCCGGGGCUCAACCCCGUGAACUGCAUUCGAUACUGCUCGACUAGAGAGAGGUAGGGGCGAGUGGAAUUCCCGGUGUAGCGGUGGAAUGCGUAGAUAUCGGGAAGAACACCGGUGGCGAAGGCGGCUCGCUGGGCCUUUUCUGACGCUGUAGCGCGAAAGCGUGGGGAGCAAACAGGAUUAGAUACCCUGGUAGUCC
rnacentral:rRNA from 1 species